GGGGGCGUAAAGGUUUCGACGGGGAUUUUGAAGCGGGAUAAGCGAGUAGAGCUGUGCGAACUCUUUAAAGCGCACACGUUUUUAAAAUUAAACGACAAAAAUAAUUUUGAAUUAGCAGCUGCUUAAUUGCUGCUCGCCUCCUCAAAGCAGCCUACGGCUUUGAGCUUGGCGUCGAUUUAGUAGGAACGGCUGAUGCGGAUUGCCCUUACCGCAGCAGUCUAUUUUAAGGGCUGCCCGCAACUCGGCGUGUUUGUUUGCCGUUUUGCGGGGAGAUAAUAUAACAAACUACACUCGUAGAAAUUCUCGUGAAUAAGUUUUCGGACACGGGUUCGACUCCCGUCGCCUCCACCA
rnacentral:tmRNA from 1 species